ACUGUGGUGUCGGAGUGGUUAACGAGUCAGACUUGAAUCGUUUAUCGUUCCAGAUAUCUGAUGCCUUCGGGCGCGCAGGUUCGAGUCCUGUCCGCAGUG
rfam:Baudoinia panamericana TAMH 10762 unplaced genomic scaffold BATCOscaffold_2, whole genome shotgun sequence.